ensembl:lncRNA
AAAUAUUUUUACUCAUAUUUUUUACGGUAUAAAAUAUUUUAUAGCUUGGUUAAAAUAUACAAAAAUUUAUGUUCUGUCAAUUGGUAAAUUAGUAUGGAGCCCCGCACAUGACAUGCAAGAAAAAAUAAAUCAAUUGUGCGCACGAUUUACUAAUUUGUUCCCUCAAUGUACUAAAACGUGCACACGAUUACUAUUGCAUUCCCUCGAUUUACUAUUGCGUUCCCUCGAUUUGCUAAAUCGUGCGCACAAUUUAGCAAAUCGAGGGAACGAAUUAGUAAAUCGUGGGCACAAUUUAUAAAUCGAGUGAACGAAAUAGUAAAUCGAGGGAAUGCAAUAGUAAUCAUGUGCACGGUUUAGUACAUUGAGGGAACGAAUUAGUAAAUCGUGCGCACGAUUUAGCAUACUAUUUUUUCCUGCAUGCCAUGUGCGGGGCUCCGUAUCUUAGUGUUUUAAUUCCUGAAAGUGUCUGCUCUUUUCAGGUGGGGCUCUUGCCAAACAAACUUUUUUUUUCCCAAUUGCAUUUCAGAGAAUUAUUGUCAUUCAGGUUCUGAAUUGAAAAGGAGUCCAUUCUUUUUUUCUGAAAUUUCCCCAAUCCCAUUCUUAGAACAAUCUAGAAAGGUGCCAACAGGGAAAACAGACCUCUUCCUCUGGAAAACAGACAGAAAAUCUUCCCAGCAUGAAGCUGCUUCGAUGUGUGUUGCUGUACUCCUGCAGUGCAGAGUGUGUUUGUCUAGUACCUCCCUAUAACCUCACACUUCCCCAUUUGCCCUCAGAUUUAACAGUUUGAUGAGAAAGCAGUGAGCAGCAAAACAUGCCUGGAGGAAAUACCACAGUAUGCACAGUCAAACCAGGCAGUUAUGCUGAAUGCAAGACCAUGGAGUAGUAGGAGAAGUGGCCGGAGAAGCACACAACCGUGAGUGAAAAUGAGUCCCCCACUGAAGCCAUCAAUCAACGUAAUGGAUAUGAGGCAGGACAUCUCUAGAGAUGCGGCAGUGAAACUCUGCCCCUCUUAUUCCAUCACCACCGCUCUGAACGGCAGCCUAGGGAGACCAGGAGCAGGACAAUACCAGCCUUUCACUCAAGCAAGGCAUGACCUGUCAUCAGUAGGAGUCAAAGAACUUCAACCUCCUCAGACUCUGACACUUCAACAUGAAGCAAUGAAAACUGGAAUGUGUGAUGGCUUUCACCUGCAAACAUGCCUCUCCCGUCUUUGAAGAACAGAUUUGGAGAAAUUCAGCAUUACAUCACUUGCUCACCAAUGGAUCCUCUGCAGUGAAUGGGUGCCGUCAGAAUGAGAGUCCAAACAGCUGAUAAAAACAUCCCCAAAAUCCACAGGUAAUCCACACAGUCCAUCAAUAAAUAUCUUGUGAAACAAAAAGCUACA